ACCUUCUUUUCUUUCGAUUUUCUUUUUGUCCAACUUCGUGUGUAUUACUAGUUAGUUAUUUAAUAUUAAAAGCGAGAGCGAGGGAGGGAGAGAGAGUCAAACAUAACAUCCGUCAUGAUCUGAACAAUCUGACUGCAUAAACAAAAGUAAAAUGCUGAUUUUUACGAACUCCUUUACUUGUAAAUAUUUUUUAUAAAAGAACUUCUGACAUUUUGAGAUUCGAAGACACCACUAUUAGUGAAUUAGAUCAUUAAAAGUACCUUGAUUUUCUUUUGAAAGUUAAAAUUCAGGUAAGAUUUGAAUUUAAACCAACCUCUUGCCAUGCCCAAUUCUGGUUCUCGGCCUUCCCCUGGUUUCCCAAUGGCGUCGCUGCCUGGGACCACUCUUUGGUCAACUGGAAAGCCGCCCUCAGGAUCCCAACCAUCCUUAUUACCGCCCAAUGUAGCAGCAGGACGACCCACUGGCCCUCCUGUUAGUCAGCCCCCACCUCCUUUAGCGUCCAGACCCUCGCCUCCGGGGUCAAUGCCCUCUUCUAUGCGUGGUCCCGCAGUGCCUCCUUCUGGUGGCUUCCCUUCUCCUGGUUCACCUAGUGGUCCUACUGUUCCGCCACCGCCAGGGGUUCGCCCGAGUCCUUUUGCUUCGUCUUCUCCGUUGAGUUCUGGUCCAGUUGUUAACACAUCGAGCGUGCCACCUAAUGAAGCAGUGAGUAAUGGGAUGUCGUUUGCUUCUGGUUCUAUGCUUGGUGGGCCUAGAUUUCCUCCAGUUAGCAGUACCCGACCACCACCUAUGGGAUCUCCACCAAUUGUUUCAGCUCCAGCUCCCCCUCAAGCUCCACCUGUUUCUUCUAUGCAAUCACGGCCGCCAUUUUCUGUUGGAGGUCCAGGUGUGCCGCCCCCUUUUUUAGCGGGAUCUCAAGGUGUACCGCCACCCCCAGGUCCUCCCUUUGGAGCACAGACAUGGUCACUGCAACCUCAGCAGCCACCUACAAAGUUUGGAACGCCUCCACAUUUAGCAAACCAAGGGUUUGCUGAAGAGACUCCCGUGACUAUCAGUGCAACCUGGGUCCAGAUGGUAGGCGCAGGGAUGCUGAUGAAAGGCCUGAACUGUGUAGAGGAACGGUGGAAUUUGUUGCUUCAAAGGAGUACAUGGUCAGUUUAUUACCAUUACCCCUUCUCAGCUCUAUCUGACCCUGCCAAGCUUUACAAUGAUCUGAGAUGGAAUGUCACCAGGCCCCAAGGUUUUGAGGCUGUCAUGCGUGGUAUUCAAGUACAAGAGUAGUCGGGAAACUUCUGCAAACGCAUUCCAACUGAUAUUGACUUACCUGGGAUUGGCUGUGUCAAAACCAUAAUGGCAACACUAAAGCAUGAUGGCAAGUUGCGGGACGGCUCAGAAUGUGCCUUUCAGUGUGCCCUUCUUUACACCACUCUGUAUGGCCAAAGAAGAAUAUGAUCAGCAUUUUUUUCCCAAUUUGCUUAUUUAAAAAAUAACAAAUGUGCUAGAAUCCCAAUUUGCUUAUUUCUUGAAACAAGGUGCUUGAUUCUUUUUGUACAGUUU